rnacentral:rRNA from 1 species
GACGAACGCUGGCGGCGUGCUUAACACAUGCAAGUCGAACGGAAAGGCCCUGCUUUUGUGGGGUUCUCGAGUGGCGAACGGGUGAGUAACACGUGAGUAACCUGCCCUUGACUUUGGGAUAACUUCAGGAAACUGGGGCUAAUACCGGAUAGGAUCUCCUGCUGCAUGGAGGGGGGUGGAAAGUUGCGGCGGGUGGGGAUGGACUGGCGGCUUAUCAGCUUGUUGGUGGGGUAGUGGCAUACCAAGGCUUUGACGGGUAGCCGGCCUGGGAGGGUGACCGGCCACAAUGCGACUGAGAUACGGCCCAGACGCCUACAGGGGGCAGCAGUGGGGAGUAUUACACAAUGGGCGGAAGCCUGAUGCAGCAGCGCCGCGUGCGGGAAGACGGCCUUCGGGUUAUGAACCGCUUUCGCCUGUGACGAAGCGGGAGUGACGGUAAUGGGUAAAGAAGCACCGGCUAACUACGUG